rnacentral:ncRNA from 1 species
UAAAAUGCAAUGACAGGCAACAGUAGUAUUCUUCUCCCUGUUAUAAAGAGAGCUGAUGGACGGUGAGAAUCAGCACAAAGGAGAAUGCGAAUUACACCCUCGAGCUUCCUUUUUGAACGGUUGGUUGAUCCGACCUAUAAAAAAGGACGGUUAAUUACCGUUAUCCUGAAUGAAGAGGUGGAUGAUGUUUGUCCGCAAUGAGGGUGGUACCGCGAAUAAAUUCGUCCCUGCU